rnacentral:rRNA from 1 species
GACGAACGCUGGCGGCAUGCCUAACACAUGCGAGUCGAGCGAGUAGAUCCCUUCGGGGUGAAGCUAGCGGCGGACGGGUGAGUAACACGUGGGCAACCUGCCUCAUAGAGGGGAAUAGCCUUCCGAAAGGAAGAUUAAUACCGCAUAAGAUUGUAGCUUCGCAUGAAGCAGCAAUUAAAGGAGCAAUCCGCUAUGAGAUGGGCCCGCGGCGCAUUAGCUAGUUGGUGAGGUAACGGCUCACCAAGGCGACGAUGCGUAGCCGACCUGAGAGGGUGAUCGGCCACAUUGGGACUGAGACACGGCCCAGACUCCUACGGGAGGCAGCAGUGGGGAAUAUUGCACAAUGGGGGAAACCCUGAUGCAGCAAUGCCGCGUGAGUGAUGACGGCCUUCGGGUUGUAAAGCUCUGUCUUCGGGGACGAUAAUGACGGUACCCGAGGAGGAAGCCACGGCUAACUACGUGCCAGCAGCCGCAGUAA